rnacentral:rRNA from 1 species
GCAUAGCGGUAUCCUGAGUAACGCGGGACACGAGGAAUCCUGCGCGAAUCUGCCGGGACCAUCCGGUAAGGCUAAAUACUCCCGUGAGACCGAUAGCGAACGAGUACUGUGAAGGAAAGGUGAAAAGAACCCCGAGCAGGGGAGUGAAAUAGUUCCUGAAACCAUACGCCUACAAGCGGUCGGAGCAUCGUAAGAUGUGACGGCGUGCCUUUUGCAUAAUGAUCCUACGAGUUACCGUCACUGGCGAGGUUGAGUGUCACGAGACACGUAGCCGCAGUGAAAGCGAGCCUGAAUAGGGCGCACAGUCAGUGGGGGUAGACGCGAAACCAAGUGAUCUACACUUGGCCAGGAUGAAGUCCCGGUAACACGGGAUGGAGGUCCGCACCAAUAAGCGUUGAAAAGCUUCUGGAUGAGCCGAGUGUAGGAGUGAAAGGCCAAUCAAACUUGGAGAUAGCUCGUACUCCCCGAAAGGCAUUUAGGUGCCGCGUCGGAUGGUCACCGUGAGAGGUAGAGCGACCGAUAGGACAAGAGGGCUUCACCGCCUAUCGAGUCCUGACGAACUCCGAAUGCUCACGGUCUGCAGUCCGGCAGUAAGGGGGCGGGUGCUAAGGUCCGUCCCCGAGAGGAGAAGAAUCCAGACCGCCGUCUAAGGUCCCGGAGUUCUGCCUGAGUUAGUCUAACGAAGUCUGGUCCCUAUGACAGCUAGGAUGUUGGCUUGGAAGCAGCCAUUCAUUCAAAGAGUGCGUAACAGCUCACUAGUCGAGGGUCCGGGCAUGGAUAAUAAUCGGGUAUAAGGCAGACACCGAAGGCGCGGGAUAGCAAUUAUAAAAGUAUCGGUAGGGGAGCAUACUCACAGCGUCGAAUGGUGUACGUAAGUUAUCCUGGAGCGGUGAGUAAAGCAAAUGUAGGAAUAAGUAACGAUAAGGAGGGUUAGAUUCCCUCCCGCUGUAAGACCAAGGUUUCCCGGGCAAUGCCAAUCAGCCCGGGGUCAGUCGGGUCCUAAGUCUAAGCCGAACGGCGAUGGCGAUGGCAGAGACGGUUAAUAUUCCGUCACUGCCGCAUGGGGCGA